GUUUAUCAAAAACAUCUCUUCUUGUAAGUUUUUGAGGUAUGGCCUGCCCACUGAUGAUUAGUUAUUGAAGGGCCGCGGUAUAUUGACCGUGCAAAGGUAGCAUAAUCAUUUGUUCAUUAAUUGUGAUCUGGUAUGAAUGGUUAGACGAGAUAUUAGCUGUCUUGGAUUUUGAGUUUUGUUUGGAAUUUGGUUUUUAAGUUAAAAUUCUUAAAUGUUUUUAUGGGACGAGAAGACCCUAUAGAGUUUUACAUUUAAUGGUUUAUUUUUUGUUUGGUUUGUUUUGUUGUUAGGCUUUAAUUGUUUUGUUGGGGUGAUGGGAAGAAUUUGAGUAACUCUUCUUUGAUUUAUUUUAUAUUGGUGUAUAUUUUUUUGAUCCAUUUAUUUUGAUUGUCAGAUUAAAUUACCUUAGGG
rnacentral:rRNA from 1 species